rnacentral:tRNA from 1 species
GGAGGGCUCGCAUAGUGGACUAGUGCGGCGGUCUUGAAAACCGCUAGGCGGGCAACCGUCUCGUGGGUUCGAAUCCCACGCCCUCCGCCA